AACGAACGCUGGCGGCGUGCUUAACACAUGCAAGUCGAACGGUGACCCACCUUCGGGUGGCGAUCAGUGGCGAACGGGUGAGUAACACGUGGGCAGCCUGCCCCUGACUCUGGGAUAACUCCUCGAAAGAGGUGCUAAUACCGGAUACCACCUCCCUCGUCAUCGGGGGAGGUUGAAAGUUCUUCGGUCAGGGAUGGGCCCGCGGCCUAUCAGCUAGUUGGUGAGGUAACGGCCCACCAAGGCGACGACGGGUAGCCGGCCUGAGAGGGCGACCAGCCACACUGGGACUGAGACACGGCCCAGACUCCUACGGGAGGCAGCAGUGGGGAAUAUUGCGCAAUGGGCGAAAGCCUGACGCAGCAACGCCGCGUGAGGGAUGACGGCCUUCGGGUUGUAAACCUCUUUCAGCAGGGACGAAGCGAAAGUGACUGUACCUGCAGAAGAAGCGCCGGCUAACUACGUGCCAGCCGCCGCCGUAAUAC
rnacentral:rRNA from 1 species